UACGUAGGGUGCAAGCGUUGUCCGGAUUUAUUGGGCGUAAAGAGCUCGUAGGCGGUUAGACAAGUCGGGUGUGAAAGCUCGAGGCUCAACCUCGAGACGCCACUCGAUACUGUUUUGACUGGAGUCCGGUAGAGGAGUGCGGAAUUCCUGGUGUAGCGGUGAAAUGCGUAGAUAUCAGGAGGAACACCGAUGGCGAAGGCAGCUGCCUGGCCUGAGCAACUGAA
rnacentral:rRNA from 1 species